CAAGAAGCAGAUGAAGAUGAACUCUGAUCUCUGUGAAACAGACCACGAGGGUGUGAAGAUGAUCUCAGGCUGUGACAAACACACAAUAACGGCCUGUGUCUUCAGUCUUCAUACAGUUUCAUGAACAUCUUUUCUUUUCAAGACAGCAGUGUGUGUCUGACACUCAUGUGAUCAUCUGAUGAGCAUCUCAAUACUGGAAGGUAUUUGUCAUUUUCAUGGGACUGAGAACAAGA